GACGAACGCUGGCGGCGUGCCUAAUACAUGCAAGUAGAACGCUGAAGAGAGGAGCUUGCUCUUCUUGGCUGAGUUGCGAACGGGUGAGUAACGCGUAGGUAACCUGCCUGGUAGCGGGGGAUAACUAUUGGAAACGAUAGCUAAUACCGCAUAAAAUGGAUUAUCGCAUGAUAAUCCAUUGAAAGGUGCAAAUGCAUCACUACCAGAUGGACCUGCGUUGUAUUAGCUAGUUGGUGGGGUAACGGCUCACCAAGGCGACGAUACAUAGCCGACCUGAGAGGGUGAUCGGCCACACUGGGACUGAGACACGGCCCAGACUCCUACGGGAGGCAGCAGUAGGGAAUCUUCGGCAAUGGACGGAAGUCUGACCGAGCAACGCCGCGUGAGUGAAGAAGGUUUUCGGAUCGUAAAGCUCUGUUGUAAGAGAAGAACGAGUGUGAGAGUGGAAAGUUCACACUGUGACGGUAUCUUACCAGAAAGGGACGGCUAACUACGUG
rnacentral:rRNA from 1 species